rnacentral:tRNA from 1 species
GGAGUAUUGGCAGAGCGGAUGAUGGCACUCGCCUCGAAAGCGAGCGGACUGAGAAGUCUCCCAGGUUCGAAUCCUGGAUGCUCCG